GUGGGGCAGAGGAAGACCUG
rnacentral:miRNA from 1 species